GAGUUUGAUCCUGGCUCAGGAUGAACGCUAGCGGCAGCCUAAUACAUGCAAGUCGAACGAUACUCUUUAGCUUGCUAAGGAAAGUGGCGCACGGGUGCAACGCGUAUGCAACCUACCUUAAUCAGGGAUGGAAGAAAUUCGGAUUAACACCGCAUAAAUCACAGUACAGCGUACGCAAUGUUAUAGGAUUAAGAUGGGCAUGCGUGACAGUGGUUAGUUGGCGGUAACGGCCACAAGACCACGAUGUCUAGGGAUCUGAGAGGAUGACCCCACACUGGUACUGAGACACGGACCGGGCUCACGGGAGGCAGCAGUAAGGAAUAUUGGUCAAUGGAGCGCUCUGAACCAGCCAUGCCGCGUGCAGGAAGACAGCCCUCUGGGUCGUAAACUGCUUUUAUUCGGGAAUAAACCUAUCACGUGUAGAUAGCUGAAUGUACCGAAGGAAUAAGGAUCGGCUAACUCCGUGCCAGCAGCCGCGGUAAUACGGAGGAUCAAGCGUUAUCCGGUUGUUGGGUUUAAAGGUGCGUAGGCGGCUUUUAGUCAGGGGUGAAGACGGUGGCUCAACCAUCGCAGUGCCCUUGAUACUGAAGAGCUUGAAUGAACUAGGGUAGGCGGAAUGUGCGUAGGCGGUGAAAUGCAUAGAUAUGUCACAGAACACCGAUUGCGAAGGCAGCUUACUAUGGUUAAAUUGAGCGCUGAGGCACGGCGUGGGAUCAAACAGGAUUAGAUGCCUGGUAGUCCGCCUAAACGAUGAAUACUCGCUGUUAGCGAUACACGUUAGCGGCUGGCGAAAGCGUUAAGUAUUCCACCUGGGAGUACGGUCGCAAGAUUGAAACUCAAAGGAAUGACGGGGCCCGCACAAGCGGAGGAGCAUGUGGUUUAAUUCGAUGAUACGCGAGGAACCUUACCCGGGCUUGAAAGUUGGUGAAUCAUUUAGAGAUAGAUGAGUCCGCAAGGACACGAAACUAGGUGCUGCAUGGCUGUCGUCAGCUCGUGCCGCCGUGAGGUGUUGUUGUCCCGCAACGAGCGCAACCCCUAUGUUGGUUGCCAGCACGUUAAGGUGGGGACUCUAAACGACUGCCUGUGCAAACAGAGAGGAAGGAGGACGACGUCAGUCAUCAUGGCCCUUACGUCCGGGGCUACACGUGCUACAAUGGAUGGUACAGAGGGCGCGCUGGUAACAAAGCAAAUCUCAAAAGCCAUUCACAGUUCGGAUAGAGGUCUGCAACUCGACCUCUUGAAGUUGGAUUCGCUAGUAAUCGUAUAUCAGCAAUGAUACGGUGAAUACGUUCCGGGCCUUGUACACCGCCCGUCAAGCCAUGGAAGGGUACCUAAAGUAUGUAACCCGCAAGGAGCGUCCUAGGUAAAACCGAUAACUGGGGCUAAGUCGUAACAAGGUAGCCGUACCGGAAGGUGCGGCUGGAAUACUCCUUUCU
rnacentral:rRNA from 1 species